rnacentral:rRNA from 1 species
GAAUGUUGACCUCGGAUCAGGUAGGAAUACCCGCUGAACUUAAGCAUAUCAAAAGUCGGGAGGAA